UUCAUUAACAGAGAAAUGUUUGAUCCGGCAGAAAAGUACAAAAUGGACCACAGGAGGCGAGGAAUUGCUUUAAUCUUCAAUCAUGAGAGGUUCUUUUGGCACUUAACACUGCCAGAAAGGCGGGGCACCUGUGCAGAUAGAGACAAUCUUACCCGCAGGUUUUCAGAUCUAGGAUUUGAAGUGAAAUGCUUUAAUGAUCUUAAAGCAGAAGAACUACUGCUCAAAAUUCAUGAGGCGUCAACUGUUAGCCACGCAGAUGCCGAUUGCUUUGUGUGUGUCUUCCUGAGCCAUGGCGAAGGCAAUCACAUUUAUGCAUAUGAUGCUAAAAUAGAAAUUCAGACAUUAACUGGCUUGUUCAAAGGAGACAAGUGUCACAGCCUGGUUGGAAAACCCAAGAUAUUUAUCAUUCAGGCAUGUCGGGGAAACCAGCACGAUGUGCCAGUCAUUCCUUUGGAUGUAGUAGAUAAUCAGACAGAGAAGUUGGACACCAACAUAACUGAGGUGGAUGCAGCCUCCGUUUACACGCUGCCUGCUGGAGCUGAC
rnacentral:sRNA from 1 species